GGAUGCGAUCAUACCAGCAUCUAAAGCACCGUAUCCCAUCAGAACUCCGAAGUUAAGCGUGCUUGGCGAGAGUAGUACUAGGAUGGGUGACCUCCUGGGAAGUCCUCGUGUUGCAUUCCC
rnacentral:rRNA from 1 species